rnacentral:rRNA from 1 species
GACGAACGCUGGCGGCGUGCUUAACACAUGCAAGUCGAACGGAAAGGCCCUGCUUUUGUGGGGUGCUCGAGUGGCGAACGGGUGAGUAACACGUGAGUAACCUGCCCUUGACUUUGGGAUAACUUCAGGAAACUGGGGCUAAUACCGGAUAGGAGCUCCUGCUGCAUGGUGGGGGUUGGAAAGUUUCGGCGGUUGGGGAUGGACUCGCGGCUUAUCAGCUUGUUGGUGGGGUAGUGGCUUACCAAGGCUUUGACGGGUAGCCGGCCUGAGAGGGUGACCGGCCACAUUGGGACUGAGAUACGGCCCAGACUCCUACGGGGGGCAGCAGUGGGGAAUAUUGCACAAUGGGCGGAAGCCUGAUGCAGCAACGCCGCGUGCGGGAUGACGGCCUUCGGGCUGUAAACCGCUUUCGCCUGUGACGAAGCGUGAGUGACGGUAAUGGGUAAAGAAGCACCGGCUAACUACGUGCCAGCAGCCGCGGUGAUACGUAGGGUGCGAGCGUUGUCCGGAUUUAUUGGGCGUAAAGGGCUCGUAGGUGGUUGAUCGCGUCGGAAGUGUAAUCUUGGGGCUUAACCCUGAGCGUGCUUUCGAUACGGGUUGACUUGAGGAAGGUAGGGGAGAAUGGAAUUCCUGGUGGAGCGGUGGAAUGCGCAGAUAUCAGGAGGAACACCAGUGGCGAAGGCGGUUCUCUGGGCCUUUCCUGACGCUGAGGAGCGAAAGCGUGGGGAGCGAACAGGCUUAGAUACCCUGGUAGUCCACGCUGUAAACGGUGGGUACUAGGUGUGGGGUCCAUUCCACGGGUUCCGUGCCGUAGCUAACGCUUUAAGUACCCCGCCUGGGGAGUACGGCCGCAAGGCUAAAACUCAAAGGAAUUGACGGGGCCCCGCACAAGCGGCGGAGCAUGCGGAUUAAUUCGAUGCAACGCGUAGAACCUUACCUGGGUUUGACAUGGAUCGGGAGUGCUCAGAGAUGGGUGUGCCUCUUUUGGGGUCGGUUCACAGGUGGUGCAUGGCUGUCGUCAGCUCGUGUCGUGAGAUGUUGGGUUAAGUCCCGCAACGAGCGCAACCCUUGUUCACUGUUGCCAGCACGUUAUGGUGGGGACUCAGUGGAGACCGCCGGGGUCAACUCGGAGGAAGGUGGGGAUGACGUCAAGUCAUCAUGCCCCUUAUGUCCAGGGCCUCACGCAUGCUACAAUGGCUGGUACAGAGAGUGGCGAGCCUGUGAGGGUGAGCGAAUCUCGGAAAGCCGGUCUCAGUUCGGAUUGGGGUCUGCAACUCGACCUCAUGAAGUCGGAGUCGCUAGUAAUCGCAGAUCAGCAACGCUGCGGUGAAUACGUUCCCGGGGCU